CUACGGGUGGCUGCGGCAGGGAAUAUUGCACAAUGGACGGAAGUCUGAUGCAGCGACGCCGCGUGGAUGAUGAAGGCCCUCGGGUUGUAAAAUCCUUUUCGGGGGGACGAGGAAGGACGGUACCCUUGGAAUAAGCGUCGGCUAACUACGUGCCAGCAGCCGCGGUAAGACGUAGGACGCAAGCGUUAUCCGGAUUUACUGGGCGUAAAGCGUCUGUAGGCGGAAUGGUAAGUUGGACGUGAAAGCUCCGGGCUCAACCCGGAGAGGUCGUUCAAUACUGCCAAACUAGAGGGCAUCAGAGGAGCGUGGAAUUUCCGGUGUAGCGGUAGAAUGCGCAGAUAUCGGAAGGAACACCAAUGGCGAAGGCAGCGCUCUGGGAUGAACCUGACGCUAAGAGACGAAAGCUAGGGGAGCGAACAGGAUUAGAUACCCCUUAGUC
rnacentral:rRNA from 1 species